rnacentral:rRNA from 1 species
GACGAACGCUGGCGGCGUGCUUAACACAUGCAAGUCGAACGGAAAGGCCCUGCUUUUGUGGGGUGCUCGAGUGGCGAACGGGUGAGUAACACGUGAGUAACCUGCCCUUGACUUUGGGAUAACUUCAGGAAACUGGGGCUAAUACCGGAUAGGAGCUCCUGCUGCAUGGUGGGGGUUGGAAAGUUUCGGCGGUUGGGGAUGGACUCGCGGCUUAUCAGCUUGUUGGUGGGGUAGUGGCUUACCAAGGCUUUGACGGGUAGCCGGCCUGAGAGGGUGACCGGCCACAUUGGACUGAGAUACGGCCCAGACUCCUACGGGAGGCAGCAGUGGGGAAUAUUGCACAAUGGGCGGAAGCCUGAUGCAGCAAUGCCGCGUGCGGGAUGACGGCCUUCGGGUUGUAAACCGCUUUCGCCUGUGACGAAGCGUGAGUGACGGUAAUGGGUAAAGAAGCACCGGCUAACUACGUG